CCUACGGGAGGCAGCAGUGGGGAAUAUUGCACAAUGGGGGAAACCCUGAUGCAGCGACGCCGCGUAAAGGAUGAAGUAUUUCGGUAUGUAAACUUCUAUCAGCAGGGAAGAAAAUGACGGUACCUGACUAAGAAGCCCCGGCUAACUACGUGCCAGCAGCCGCGGUAAUACGUAGGGGGCAAUCGUUAUCCGGAUUUAAUGGGUGUAAAGGGGACGUAGACGGUAUGGCAAGUCUGAUGUGAAACCCCGUGGCUCAACCCCGGGACUGCAUUUGAAACUGCCGAACUGGAGUGUCGGAGAGGCAAGUGGAAGUCCGAGUGUAGCGGUGAAAUGCGUAGAUAUUAGGAGGAACACCAGUGGCGAAGGCGGCUUGCUGGACGAUGACUGACGUUGAGGCUCGAAAGCGUGGGGAGCAAACAGGAUUAGAGACCCUUGUAGUC
rnacentral:rRNA from 1 species